CCGCUGACUACAGUUUUGCUCUUUUGUUUUUGGGGCGACAUGUUUAAAUUAAGCAGGAAGUUGGUUAUCGAGAAACACGAGGACAUAUAGCUCGAAGAAAUGUAAAUUGAUAUGAUCUCAUAUCUGUCAAUUAUGCUUUAUGAAAGGUAUCACAUUCUCAAAAUGGUUUGUCGUUAUGCUGUUGAUUUUCCAGAUUUGCAACAGGUUGAAGCAAACUGGUCUUAUUGAAGUAUUUGCGGCAAAUGUAGAUCAAAAAGUGGGAAACCCCUACUAAAUCGAAAAAGAGCAGAUAUAGAAGGCAAAAUAAGCAACCUGUCAGUUGUUUGCAAUUACUGAAGAAGUUUUCUCCAAAGCUUUUUCAACAAAAAAUUCCAGAUUGCGAGUAUGAAAAUCUUGUCUCAUAGCAGACUAUCACAUUUGGAAACCGAGUUUUAAACACGGAGUAGUUAGUGGAGCUUUCUCUCAAGCAACACAUUAUUGACAUGAUUGAUGCUGAAGGAUCAAAGGGCUGCUUGGAGUUGAGGUGCCUGUUGUGUUGCUACCUUGUUGCAUGAGAUGAAAUGUCAUGGUAAAGACUGUCAUUUUGGAGCUAUACCCAUGAGUAUAGGAAAUGGUAUGGGAGCUGCAGGUAUUUUUGAGAGAGGGGAUGUUGCAGAUGACCUAUGCAAUGCACGUAUCGUUGGGUCACCAAAGAUGCUAAGUGAUAUUCUGGAACAGCAAGCAAUCGGUGAAAAGGCCUCAAGAAGGAUAAAAAUCAUUGUUGAUCAUUGAAAAAGUAUACAACUACAUUUAUAUCCCUAAGACUGCUAUGUUACCGGUUGGUUUACCAUAGAAUAGAGGAAGUGAUUAGUUAUAUAUAUGAGUCGGUUUUGCUGUUCA